rnacentral:rRNA from 1 species
AUUGAACGCUGGCGGCAUGCCUUACACAUGCAAGUCGAACAGCAGCGGGGGAGAAGCUUGCUUUUCCUGCCGGCGAGUGGCGAACGGGUGAGUAAUACAUCGGAACGUGCCCUGUAGUGGGGGAUAACCAGUCGAAAGAUUAGCUAAUACCGCAUACGACCUGAGGGUGAAAGUGGGGGACCGCAAGGCCUCAUGCUAUAGGAGCGGCCGAUGUCUGAUUAGCUAGUUGGGGGGGUAAAAGCCUACCAAGGCGACGAUCAGUAGCUGGUCUGAGAGGACGAUCAGCCACACUGGGACUGAGACACGGCCCAGACCCCUACGGGAGGCAGCAGUGGGGAAUUUUGGACAAUGGGCGAAAGCCUGAUCCAGCAAUGCCGCGUGUGUGAAGAAGGCCUUCGGGUUGUAAAGCACUUUUGUCCGGAAAGAAAUGGCUCUGGUUAAUACCUGGGGUCGAUGACGGUACCGGAAGAAUAAGGACCGGCUAACUACGUGCCAGCCGCCGCAGUAACAC